GGCACUAUAAUCUUUCCUCUAUCUAUGGUACUAUAAUUUGUCCAUAUACUAAUUUUAAGGACAUACAACUUUACGUCCUGGUUGUGGAAUAACAAACCUCACUGCAUCGGUGUUUAACAAAUACCUGACGUCACCUGCCUAUCCAAAGAAUUACGUGAACAACAUGGAAUGUGAAUGGACAAUAACCACGAUGAACCCUUCAGAUGUGGUGCGAGUUGAAGUUCUCGUGUCUGACCUUGAGUCGGAUGCUAACUGUAGGUCCGACUAUGUGAGCAUCUAUGACGGUCCAUCUCCAUCUGACAAAGUCAUUCUCACCUGGUGCGGGAAUAACACACCGUCUGUACAAAGCACAGGACCUGCUCUCACAAUCAGGUUCAGGACAGAUGAUCAAGACGUGGGGCAGGGUUUCCGACUGAAAUAUACACAGGUGGCAGCACAUGCUUCAGGUAAACUACAC